AUAUAACACAAGAAGAUCAGACGUUGGCACGUGUGAUUGGCGAGUGUACCGGCGCAAGUACCGUUAGCAUGGAUCUCCGUUCCCCACAGCUGUCUUUAGACAUACUUUUUAUGACUCGCGAGCCGCUCCCCCAUGAUUAUGCCCCAACGGUCAUAUUUUCCAAACAGAAAGCUAUUUUCUGCUGACCGUUUUGCCCUCCACUUUCCAACUUCCCUCUUCCGGAAUCCAAGGCUCCUCUCUAUCCUCGUCUUCUUUUUCCUCUCUGCUUCCUUCUCUGUAUUUCGAGAACAUGAUCUAAUCAACCUUUCUCUCCCAAAAUCCAAUCAAAACAUCUCCAAAUCGGUGGGAUGGGGUGUUUUCUCGCUUGCUUCGGCGAAGGAAAACGUCGAAAACACAAGAACAAAUCUCUCCCCAAAGACCGAAGCCGUGGAAGCUAUAAAUCUCUACAACCCAGCUCCCCUUUGAAACAAACAGCAGAGGAAUCGGUGGUUUGUCCGCUCCCGGAAUCGAGUGAUAAGCCUGAGAAUCUUAGUUUCAACAGCCGAAAGAAAGUCACCUUUGAUUUGAAUGUCAAGACAUAUGAGGAGGUCUCAGCUCAUGAUCUUCCAAAAUAUUCAUCGGAGAAUGAGGAAGAGAAGGAGAGGGUAAAAGAAGAGAAGAAAGAGGAAAAAGCAAGCCAACCCAUUUCAACAUCCGAUGAUAAUUCAACCAUAUCAAGUACCGGAUCCUUCCCGUCAAAUCAUCGAUACCAGAAUUGCGUAUGCAGCGACGAUGAGAAUGACGAGGAAGAGGAAGAAAACAUGGAAUAUGAAGAUAGCGAUUUCGAUGAUGAUAGAGGAGAACAAGAAGAGGUGUCUACCGACUCAUGCUUCUCUUUACCAAUCAAAAGGGAAGGAAGAAAUCAUGAGAAUACCUUAGCCAACAAAGAAGAGGUUUGUGAUUCAAGGCCCCUCUCUGUGCCUUCUCCUGAUCAGAGAUGGACACUUCUGGCUAACAAGAAUGCUCGAGAUCGGAGCCAAUAUGUUCACCCCGUGUUAAAUCCAAUUGAAAACCUCUCUCAGUGGAAAGCUGUGAAAGCAAGCAGUACACCAUUAAAACAACGGAAGAAGGAAAGUGUCGAUUUGGAACAAGAACUUCAAAUACCCUUCAGUUCGGAACCAACAUUCAAGCUCCCAGUGUCUCAAAAAUCCUUUGCUUCAAGCCCAAGAAACUUCGAUUUGGAGCAAGAACUACAUAUACCCUUCAGUUCAGAACCCACGUUCAAGCUCCCAAAGCCUCAAAUAUCCUCUGAUUCAAAACCAAGAAACUUCGAUCUCACAAAGCCUUCUCCAAAGCAAGAAAUCUCGGUUGACACCAGCCUCUCUAAUUGGUUGGUUUCAUCCGAAAACACUCCUUCAACCAAAACCAGUUUAGCUCGGACCGAAUCAUCAGAAAAUAGCCAGUCUCUGAGUUCGCGCUCAUCGAGAAUUUACGACGACCGUCCGAUUUUAGGUGCUUUAACAGUCGAGGAGCUUAGGCAACAUUCGGUGUCUUCAUCGCCGAGAAGGUCACCAAGUCGGAGCCCGGAUGACAUCCCCAUACUGGGUACUGUGGGAAGUUACUGGAACUCGAGCACUUCUCAACAGUCUGGAUCAGAUUCUAAAGGAAUACCAAAUACAACAAGCAAAUACAGAGAGGUAUACAUAGUGUGAAAACAGAGGAAACAGGGGAGUUAGGUUUGGAAUUUGAAGUGGGGAUUUAUGGGGGUAUACAGAGGAAACAGGGGUGUUUGGUUUGGAAUUUUAAGAUAAGAGGGUGAACUGGCACAACACUCCAUUUGAGGUGAGGUUGGAAAGAGCUUUGAUAGAAGGUGCUGCUGAAGCCUACUCAAGUUAUCCUCCUAAAGUAUGCUAGAGAAAGUAUGAGAUUGAUGUUGGGUAGAUGCGUCUGUGUUUUUUCAGCGUGAUGUUCACUCCCUGCCUGCUUGAAGGUUUUGUGAUUGAAGGGUCUUAUCUUAAUCAGUCCUUUGCAUUGCUUGAAAUAUUUGAUUUGUAUUUUUUAUUGUUUGUAUGAGAGCAAAAUAAAAACAGCUAUUUUGGCGUUUGAA